UACAGAGGGGGCAAGCGUUGUUCGGAAUUACUGGGCGUAAAGGGCGCGUAGGCGGCCUUCUAAGUCGAACGUGAAAUCCCCGGGCUCAACCCGGGAACUGCGUCCGAUACUGGAAGGCUUGAAUCCGGGAGAGGGAUGCGGAAUUCCAGGUGUAGCGGUGAAAUGCGUAGAUAUCUGGAGGAACACCGGUGGCGAAGGCGACAUCCUGGGCCGUAACUGACGCUGAGGAGCGAAAGCGUGGGUAGCAAACAGG
rnacentral:rRNA from 1 species